UGCAGCAACUGAAGACUCACUCUCGAGAAUUUUAUUUUAUUUUAUUUUCCGGAUAGUCGACUCACAUUCAAGUUUUAGCUCCGCUGGUGCUAGCAUCCUCACAUAGAAAAUAAGCAUCAUAGAGAACUAGAACUAAUUAUGAUGAUUCCACUCAUGCAGCUGUGGGAGUCAAGAAGUUCUGAAGCCAGUGGUGUGAUUAUAGUCUGAGGUCCAAGGCUUGAGAACCAGGAGAACUAAUGGCAUAAGCCCCUGCUCAGAUCUAAAAGCAGCAAAACCAGAAGCAGAAAAAGACAGAUGACCCUGCUCCAGCCGUUUCCUUUUGUUCUACUCUAGCCUUCAUGGGAUUGGUACCCUCUCACAAAGAGGUCGGCAGUCAAUGACGGGUUUGAAGCUUCUCCUCCCCAGAUGCCUAAGACAGGAAAUCUUGCAAAGGGCGCUUUCCAAAGACAAGAAAAUUUGAGUAAUAGGAAGAAGACUUUGCCCAAGCCAGGCGCAACCCAUCUAUCCUGUUGUAGAAGCACAGGGGUUGUUAAAAUCUAAUAAGAGAGAGUGGAUUGUAUGUCCAUAUUUCUUUAUAGUGUGACAGCCAGGCUCUAAAGCCAUAGGCCCCAUCUGAGGUAGUCACGUAGCCCUGCAGACAGGCUUUCUCUGCCUAACAAAGGGUCAGGAUGUUGU